rnacentral:rRNA from 1 species
GACGAACGCUGGCGGCGUGCUUAACACAUGCAAGUCGAACGGAAAGGCCCUGCUCUUGUGGGGUUCUCGAUUGGCGAACGGGUGUGUAACACGUGAGUAACCUGCCCUUGACUUUGUGGUAACUUCAGGAAACUGCGGCUCAUACCGGAUAGGAGCUCCUGCUCCAUGGUGGGGAUUGGUAAGUUUCGGCGGUAGGAGCUAGACUCGCGGGUUAUCAGCUGCUUUGUGGGGUAGUUGCUUACCAAGGGUUAGACGGGUAGCCGGCAUGGGAGGGUGACCGGCGACAUUGGGACUGAGAUACGGCGCAGAAGCCUACGGGAGGCAGCAGUGGAGAAUAUUGCGCAAUGGGCGGACGCGUGAGACAGCAACCCCGCGUGCGGAAUGACCGCCUUCGGGUUGUAAACAGCUUUCGAAGGAGACGAAGCGUGAGUGACGGUAAUGAGUAAAGAAGCCACGGCUAACUACGUG